UAAUACGGAGGGUGCAAGCGUUAUCCGGAUUCACUGGGUUUAAAGGGUGCGUAGGUGGGUAGGUAAGUCAGUGGUGAAAUCCCCGAGCUUAACUUGGGAACUGCCGUUGAUACUAUCUAUCUUGAAUAUCGUGGAGGUAAGCGGAAUAUGUCAUGUAGCGGUGAAAUGCUUAGAUAUGACAUAGAACACCCAUUGCGAAGGCAGCUUACUACACGAUCAUUGACACUGAGGCACGAAAGCGUGGGGAGCAAACAGGAUUAGAUACCCUGGUAGUCCACGCCCUAAACGAUGGAUACUCGACAUCAGCGAUACACUGUUGGUGUCUGAGCGAAAGCAUUAAGUAUCCCACCUGGGAAGUACGAUCGCAAGAUUG
rnacentral:rRNA from 1 species